GACGAACGCUGGCGGCGUGCUUAACACAUGCAAGUCGAGCGGUAAGGCCCUUUCGGGGGUACACGAGCGGCGAACGGGUGAGUAACACGUGGGUGACCUGCCCUCAGCUCUGGGAUAAGCCCGGGAAACUGGGUCUAAUACCGGAUAUGACUCCAUGACGCAUGUUGUGGGGUGGAAAGCCUUGUGCGGCUAGGGAUGGGCCCGNGGCCUAUCAGCUUGUUGGUGGGGUGAUGGCCUACCAAGGCGACGACGGGUAGCCGGCCUGAGAGGGCGACCGGCCACACUGGGACUGAGACACGGCCCAGACUCCUACGGGAGGCAGCAGUGGGGAAUCUUGCNCAAUGGGCGAAAGCCUGACGCAGCGACGCC
rnacentral:rRNA from 1 species